AAAACAGUUGCUAGAGCGUCCGCUACCAUGGCCAUGAAGUGAUAGUAACGACGUCGUUUUACCUGGACCAAAAAUUUUACAGUGCAGUGUUUGACAUGGCGAUGGGUGUCGGUGGUGAAGACAGGUACGAGAACGACGUCGUUUUUCGUCAGCUUGUUUGGUGGGGAGGGAAGGAAAAAAAAUUUGGACCAUUUCUCGAUUUGUGCGUGUCAUCCUUGCGCAGGGGCCAUGCUAAUCUUCUCUGUAUCGUUCCAAUUUUAUCGGAUGUCUCCGAAGAGACAAGCUUCAGUAGGAGAGCUGGAUAAUAUGAAGACACUAAUUUAUUGGUGAAGUUUCGAUGUGGGAUGAGAGAAGUGACGGGGGAUGUUGGGUAUGGGAUGCCCAAAACGUUGUCGUUUCACAUGACCUGCAGCGCCUGAUGGAGUUCAUGGGGUCCCCAAUCUUAAGGUAAGGGUUGCUUCUCUUGUUUCUUUGUUUGGUCGUGGAUACGUUCUGUUCGUUUAUUUCUUUAAUUCUUAGUUGUACUUAUAUUUUGAACUUUGAUUUAGGAUAUUGGUUUGGGUUGAACUUUGAUUUAGUCUAGGUUUCAGAGUCGAAGAUGAAUCAGUGAGACUGUUGGUGUUGAAGCUAAUAAAUGAUUAUGCUUUAGUGUGUCUUAGGAUAGAAAGGAUUAUGGGUUUCUAUGAUUUCUCAAUCCUUCUUUAUAGUUUCCUUUUUUCUAUAAAUAAUUCUAUUCAUGUUUCUGAUCAAAGACAGAUUACCUUGUUCACACACAAAAAUCAUAUAGAGAGGGAGUUCCGUGUCAACUAUCUCUUGAUCAUCUAGUUCUGGGUUCAUAACCUUUAUGGUGUAUGCUCCUUGUUCUAAUUUGUGACAUAUGCUUAGACCUGCCAUCUCAAGGUUCUCAAUUGAAUUUGAGGUUGUUUGAGCCAGCACCAAGUAGGGUAUGGUUGGGGAUUUGGUCCUUUCUUUCCCAGCAAGUAUAAUUGAUUUUGCAGGGGCAAGUUGCUGAGGCCAUAGCGUGUUCAUAUGUUUGACAGAGAAUGGUCUGGAAUGGAAAAAAACAUGGGAGAAAAUGAGAAAAAAAUUUGGACUAUUUCUCGAUGUGCUAAUCUUCUCUGUAUCGAUCCAAUUUUAUUCCGAAGAGACGAGCUGAUAUGGGUGAGCUGGACAAUAUCCAGACACCAGUUUAUUUGUAAAGUUUCGAUGUGGGACAGUGGGUACGGGAUGCCCAAAACAUUAUCGUUUCACAUGACCUGUAUCGCCUAAGGGAGUUCAUGGGGGUCCACAGCCUGAAAGUGAGGAUCUCUGUUCACUUCUCAGUUCUCAUUGCUUUUCUUGUUUCUUUAUUUGUUUGUGGGUAUAUUCUCUAUUUGUUUAUUGGACAAUGAAUGAAAGGAAAAUUUCAAUUCUAUUUGGUUUUUUAUUGAGCAAAAUUGGAAGAAAAGAUAUCCCCAAAAUUUGGGGAAAAUUUAUGGAACCAACAAAUUGGUGAGAAAAUCUGGGAGAAGAGUGGAUGAAAAUUUUAUUGGGUUCAAAUUUGUAUUUUAUUUUAUUUUUGCCACAUUUUUUCCCCUUGUGCUUCACUUUCGUUUCCUUUACAGUUUCCUGAGAACCAAACAACCUGUAAUUAUUGUUAUGAUCACUGUUUUCGGUAUACAAUUAUUAAACCAAACUGUUAAGCAAUGAGCUAUUGUUAUUGUUACAGUCAUUUUAUUGGUACAGAAUUAUCUAAAGGAAACUGUUAAUCAGGGUUCUAUCUUUUAUGAGUUUCUUACACUGACAAUAAUUGGUAAACUGCAUGGUUGUUUAAUAUUUUUCCUUAUUCAAGUUUUCUCAUGAAUGGAUGUUUGCAGAUAUGGGGUUAAGAUGCAUUGUGUCUAGGGCUCUGGGUAGUAAAUUUCAGAAUAAGUUGGAGUAUUGGUUGGUUUAGUGAUGGUUGAAAUGUUAUUUUCCUUGUUCAAAUCUUUUCAAAAUGGAUGUUUGCAGAAUUCAAUGGGAAUUGUUUUGGUUUAGGGCUUAUGGUAUUACAUAUUGGGUCUCGGUAGGUUAGUUUGGUGUCAUUUGGCUUAGGAUUAAUUUUAUGGUCUCAGAGUAUUUGUGUUUCUGUUUUCUGAAUAGUCUCUUUACUAAGAGAUUUUCAUUCCAUGAGAUGGAUUAUAGCACAAAACUACCUUCCAGAAUUCAAUCACCAGUUAUAGAAACAUGAAUUAUGUGAGUAGGUUUAACUUUUGCAGGAAUGCAGGAGAAGGACGUUGUGUUACUUUUACCUGGAGAAAGGUCUUGUUUGGUGGGGAGGAAAGAAAAAAAAAUUUGGACCAUUUCUCGAUUUGUGCGUGUCAUCCUUGCGCAGGGGCCAUGCUAAUCUUCUCUGUAUCGUUCCAAUUUUAUCGGAUGUCUCCUAAGAGACAAGCUUUAAUAGUGGAGUUUCAAUAUAUGAGGAAACAUAUCUGGUCUUAAAGUUUCGAUGUGGGAUGGGAAUGGGGAUGUCAAGACCCCCGGCUGCCCAAAACGAUGCCGUUUCACUCAACCUGCACCGCCUUUAUGUGGGUCCACAACCUGAAAGUGAGGGUUACUUUUCUUGUUUCUUUAUUUGAUUGUGGAUAUGUUCUGCUUCUUUACUUCUUCAUUUGUUUGUUAUACUUAUAUUUUCAUCUUAUAGACAAUCAAAGGAAAACAUCCAACUCUAUUUGGUUUUUUACUCAACAAAAUUGGAAGAACAUAUUGUCAAAAUUUGGGGAAAAUUUAUGCAACCAAAAAAUUGAUGAGAAAAGUUGGGAGAGCUGAGAGGGAAUGAAAAAUUUAUUGGGUUCAAAUUUCCAUCACUUUUAUUUCUGUCACAGUUUCCAGAGAACCAAACAACCUGUAAUUAAUGUUAUGAUCAUCGUUUUGGGCAUACAAUUAUUUAAAGUAAACUGUUAACCUAUGACCUAUUGUUGUUGUUUUAUUGGUACAGAUUUCUCUACAGGAAACUGUUAGUCAGAGACCUUUCUUUUAUACGAGUUUCAUGCAUUGACAUUCGGUGGUAAAAUGGAGGGUUGUUUCAAGUUUUCACAUGAAUGGGUGUUUGGAGGUAUGGGUUUAAGAGGUAUUUAGUUUUGGGCUUUGGGUACUAAAAUUCCUGUAUUAGUUGGGUUAGUGUUGGUUGAAAUGUUAGUUUCCUCGUUCAAGUAUUUCCACAAUGAAUGUUUGCAGAAUUCAGUGGGAAUUGUUUUUGUUUAGUGUUUAGGGUAUUACAUUUUGGAUAUCUAUUGAUUAGUUUGAUGUCAUUUAGCGUCGGAUUAAUUUUAUGGUUUCAGAGUAUUGUGUUUAUGUUUUCUGAAUAAUCUCUUGGUAAGAGAUUUUCAUUCCAUGAAAUGGAUUGGACCACAAAACUUGACCAAAAAAAAAGAAGGAAAAAUAAAAAUAAUAUAACUUUGAACACCUUAUCUCCAGUUAUAGAAACAUGAGAUAUGCUGAGUAGGUUCAACUUUCACUAACUAGCCUUAGGUUUUCAAAUUAACAAUGUUUCAUCGUAACUCCUAUGUUCAUACUUCAUACAGUUCCUUAGCUGAAGUUCUGAGGUUGAGCUCUUACUCUUUGGGCAGUCUUAACAAAUUUAGAAAGCUGCAACAUGGAUGACCUGCGGAAGUAAUAUGGGUUUGGGUUCAUUUGCUGUACUCUGUAUAUAGUAUAGCAAAGGAAUUCAUGGGUAGUUUCCACUGUGGGACAAUUUGUGAUUGACAGCAAAUUUUCCAUAUUUUAAGGAAAAAAAGGAAUUAUUUAAUUGAUGCUUGUUUGAAAGAGAGAUGGUAAUUCUUAUGCCUACAUAGUUAGAAUUAUGUUGCUUUGGGAAAGAAGAGUUUUGGUCUGCAUUUGAACUAAGCCGUAAUAGAAGCCUGAAAGAGGUGAGAUAAUAACAUUCUGUUGGAGAAAGAUUUAACAACUAUGCUUUAUUUGGUGUCUUGGGAUAGGAGAGGGUUAUGGGGAUAUGCCCAUUGGUUACAAUGUGGGCUGCUCCUUUGCUUGGAAAACCAGGCUGAUAAAGGUGGUCAAGGUAAUCUCAUCAGUUGCCCUUUUUAACGACUUAACUAUCCUUGAGUUUCUCCAGAUUUUACUUGGGUUAUUCUACUCUGCAGUAUUGUUUCUGGGUUGCAUGUUGGGCAUUUGUCCUCUGUUUUUUUACCUUCUCUUCCUAUCCUGUAUUUCUUUUUCUUUGAAGGUUCUCUCAUCCUUCUUUAUCAUUACAUUUUCUCUUUUCGGGAUUACUAAUUAUAUUCGUGCUGCUGAUGAAAGAAUGAUUCCAUCUUUCAGACACUCAAAUCUUGACAGAUUAUUGGCUGAUGGUGACUUCUUGCCUAACAACAGAAUCACAUAAAGGGAGAUUGCUUUCAACCAUCCUGUUAUCAUAUUGUUCACAAUUCAUAACCUUGUAGCAGUCAAUCCACGAGCUUUGUUUGGAUGGCCAAACACAUUAUUCAAGGAAAUGACUUGAAUAUACUUCUGCUUAUAUUUGAAUGUGGUCCCUUUCUUCCCUUAGAUUCAUUUUUAGAUUUAUAGUUGCCACAAAGGACAACACGAUGUCCAUUUUCUUUUUGCCUCUCAGGCAAGUGUAAGACCCAAAGUUUUUAUAGGUCAGGUUUCAAAUGUUGUUAAACUGGUUUAAACCUGCGACCUCAAGCUUUCAAUUGAACUGGGCUUGCAUGAGUCAAGACCGAGUUGGCUAUGAUUGGAGAUUGAAUCCUUCUUUUCCCUCUUUGUUUUUCUAAGAUGUACUAUUCAUUUUUUCCUGGCAACUGGCUAAGGCUUUGAUUGACCAUAGUUCAGUUCAUGUUUCAGAGAAAUGGCUGGUUCUGAAGCAGAGAUAGGCUCUGUAAUGUAAUUUGUUCAUAGUUGUUGAAAGUGUUCUUGAUUUGGGGAGAAAAAGAAAAAAAAAUUUGGACCAUUUCUCGAUUUGUGCGUGUCAUCCUUGCGCAGGGGCCAUGCUAAUCUUCUCUGUAUCGUUCCAAUUUUAUCGGAUGUCUCUGAAGAGACAAGCUUUGGUGGGAGAGCUGAUAGAUAUGAAGACAUUGCUGGCUUCAUAAUUGUUCGAUGUGGGAAUGGAAUUUUGGAUGAACCAAACUUAAAAGGAGAACAGCAUGGGCCCACAACCAGUAGAGUUUUUGAUCGGAACCUUAGUGGAAGGCCUGAAAAGAGGUGAAAUCACAAGGCGUUCCUAACCUUAUGGUGGAUGAGACAGAAUUUAAUGACAAAGCUUUCUUGGGUGUCUCAGGAAAAGGAGGUUAUGGAGAUAUAUACCCAUUGAUUUGAACCAGGGGGCUGAUAAGAUGGUGAAAGGCCUCUCAUCAAUUACCCGUGUUUGGGGAGUUUCUCCCGAGAUUUUCCCAUGUUUGGCUUGGAUUAUAGUGGUAGAUGUGUAUUGUUUCUGCGAAUCAAUUUUUGGGUGUUCAUUCUUUGUCUUCCUCCUCUCUCCUCUCUCCUCUCUCCUCAUCCUCUUCUACACCCAUAUCUAUGAAGGAUCUCUCUUUCUGCAUCGUAGUUAUGUUUUCUCUGUAUAUAAUUCUAUCUGGGUUUCUUGCAGAAUAGGUUACAUCUUUCAAACACUGAACUGAGAGAUUAUUGUUUGGUGGUGAUAGGUAAUGAUGAAAAUACCUAUAAUUAUAUCGA